UCACGCGCACACCCACACGCACACACACACACAAACAGUUCUCUACUACCAAGAAGAGGAGGCCGGGACGUGGCGGCUCCCGAGACCACGCUGAGCAGUCUUCAAGAGCUGUGAGCAUCGAGACUGAGAGCACCUCCCUGCUUUUUCCGCCCUGGUGUUUGGGGUCCUGAACCGUCUCAGCCCUGCAGUCCUUGCCCAGGAAGACAGAGACGAGAGGUGCAGCAGGCUUGGCGGCUACCACUGGAAGCAGGAAGAUGGUUGAAGGUUCGGGUGACAGUGGAAGUCUUGAGAGGACCACGCCCCUGAGAGGACAGGCCUGAACCAAGGCCAGGGUCCACGUGGGCAGGCAGAGAUGGGCACUCAGACAGGUGAAGGGGGAAGAGACUUCCUGCAUACCUUCCUGUCCUGCUCACUGGACUCCCAAUGUCUAGACCACAGGCCAGUGGGCCAUGGUUAUACAAGGGAAGCCUGGAGUUACUGGGGACACACACUCCAGGUUCCUCCUCCCUCCUCCAGGCCCCUCUCCCCAACACCAGCUGCCCCUGCUCCCCAAUAGCAGAAACACUCUCUCUGGGGCUGCCUUUACCGGCCUCCACCUCCUGGGGGACAAGGGUUGUGCCCAGUCUGAGCCAUCUCAGCUGGCUCCAGGAGGCCCCGUGGAGGGUCUAGGCGGUCUCCAAUGUGCUACCCCCACACUGGCUGAGCCAUGGCAGCCCAUACCAGAGAGGGAGUCAAGAGAAACGUAGACUCUCCAGGGCCAGCACUCAACUGGUGCCUCAUUCAAUAUGCCCCCGCCCACCAAUGAAAACAUUAACCCCCCCCAAAGGCUCCAAGAAUAACAAGACAAAUUUCCACAUACCUUCACCUUGACCUUGCACUAGUAUUCUCCCAUUGUUACCACUUGCCUUAUAUGCUUUAUGUUUUUAAUCUAUCACUUCAUUGAUUAGUUGGUUUGCUUGCCCUGGUAAGUAAAUUGCAGACAUCAAAUCCCUUCAGCUUCAAAUGUUUCACCCCUAAAUAUGCCAGCAUGUUCCCUAGGAAUAGGAACGUUCUUCUAAAGACUGGCAACAAUAUUUGAUAAUAUUUAAUACAUAAUGCAUAUUCAACCCAAACUCACUGACUCACAGUGGCCUCAGACCCCGUGUUGUCCCCAGAGGCCCCAAUCCAGGACCUACACAUGGUUCACAUAUUGUCAGGGCUCUGGUCUCCUUUAAUCCAGAUUAUUCCUCUGACCUCAAGCUUAUUUAUUUCUGUAUUUGUUUACUUAUUUUGGUCUCUUAUGAUAUUGAUAUUGCAAACCAGUCACCUGGACACUGUCUCACAUUCUGAAUUCAACUGAUUAAUAAACUCCAUGUGAUUAAAUUCAGGUGAUUUUUUUCA